rnacentral:rRNA from 1 species
GUCUAUGGCCAUGCCACCCUGAACGCGCCCGAUCUCGUCUGAUCUCAGAAGCUAAGCAGGGUCGGGCCUGGUUAGUACUUGGAUGGGAGACCACCUAGGAAGACCAGGUGCUGUAGGUG